GUUUAGAGUUUGUUUCAUUUUGAGGUGGAGGCCUGUACAAGCAAUAGGGGGGGAACUGCAAUGGCGGUACAACUGAACUCUUUAUGACAACAUUAUGAGCAAUGUAUAAAUGCAAUCUUGACUGCUGGAGUAUUUCACAGCAUCAAACAGAAUGCAUAAAUGUCCUGUUUACCUCAGAUGCUGAUUGGUCUCCUCAUCAUCUGAGACGACUCCGUUGCACACUUCCCCUGUGGAAAAGCUAGCCUUCAGCUCUACUGCAUCAAAGCCCCUCUCCGCUGCCUCUCUCUUCUUCCUCCUCCCAAACAGGCGUCGGAACGGCUGGAAUUUGCCCUGCCGUCGCCUCUCUGCAGGCAGAAAGAGAAAUGAUAACCAAAGCCACUAGCCACACACUAUCAGCUUAUCUCUCUUUAUAUCACACCCAUGAACAUGUUUGAUUUACAUAUAAAUGUGUGGGCCGGAGUGUGUGUGUGGAUGUGUGCAAUUUACACAAGGUGUGUGAACAGAUACAAAAGAACUCCGCAGCAGAUGAAGUGAAGAGAAAACCUUGGCUCGGUUGAUAAUACUUACCUUCAACAACAGUACGUUUAUGUGAAUGCCUAUCUGAAAGCCUAUGUACAGGAGUAGGACCACUCAGGGGGACAUGGUUGAGAACCAACAUUCUGAUCACAUAACAGGCUGAAUCAUUCUGUCCUGACUGGACCUUUGGGAGUCACGCAGUAAAUCACUCACUCUGACUGACUGACUCUGUCCUUCCCAUAUGUAUACUGUAAUCCUUAUGUCUGCAUAUAAUAUCACAUGUUUCACUUGAAUACUCAAACGCUCUUUGGAUAAAGUAGAGACACAGGUGAGGAGCACUCCUUUCGUUAUCGUUCAUCCAUGAGGUGAUCUUUGAUCAAGGGAUGAAAUAUUAUAAAACAGAAAUACUAUAAAACAAAAUGGCUGUUGUAGCCUCAACGGUGCAUGUUUUAUUCUUGCAAUGCAUAAGCCGUGAACAUAAAGUUUUUUUAUCCACAGGUGUUCUAAAACCUUUGGCUGGUAUUGUAUAUUUGUGUUCUUUUGUUGAGGAAGUAUUUUUUAAAUCAAAUAAAUGCAUUAUUAUUGAUUAAAAUCACACAAUUUAGCUCUAUCCCUCAGUGUACACUCAACCCCGUUACGCCAACCAAACUCCGCCAAUAAAAAGGGUCAGUCCACCCUUAUGUGCCAUCAUUAACAGGAAGUGACAUUAUUCAACCAUUUUUAACUGCAUGGUACAGAAACAGAUACGUAAUCACAUUCUUUUAUAUCUUUGUUUUAUUGUUUUUUAAAGACAGGUGGGGAUUGUUGAGCAGACCAACACAACCCCAUUACAUAAAAUACAGAUGGAAAACUAGUACUUAUCAAAAUGAUACUUUAACCCAUAAAAAUAUACAAUACAUUAAUUUCGUUGCACACCAUGUGGUCUCCUGUCCUUCACCACAUGAGGAGCCAUUUUGAGCCCCCAAAGGAGGCCAUUUUGAGCCCCUCCAAAAAUUAAACCCUGUCACACUCAACCCGUACACAUGUUUCAUAACUGUCACGCCCUGACCUUAAAGAGCCUUUUUAUGUCUCUAUUUGGUUUGGUCAGGGUGUAAUUUGGGGUGGGCAUUCUAUGUUCUAUUUUCCAUGUUUUUGUAUUUUUUUGUUUGGGCCGGGUAUGGUUCUCAAUCAGGGACAGCUGUCUAUCGUUGUCUCUGAUUGGGAACCAUACUUAGGUAGCCCUUUUCCCUCCUUUCUGUGUGGAAAGUUUUAUUUGUUUGUGGCACUAUAGCACUUAAGCUUCACGGUCGUUUUGUAUGGUUUAUUGUUUUGUUGCCGUCAUUUUAAAUAAAGGAAAAAUGUAAGCUCACCACGCUGCGCUUUGGUCUUCCUUCAACGACAGCAGUGACAGUAACAGGGGUUGUAAAACCUGUGACAGGGUUGAGUUAUAUACUUUAUUUAUGAAUAUUGCAUCUAAACAAAUACAUUUUUCAAUAUAUUAUACAUUAUAUAUAGUUUAUAUUCACUUAUGAAACAUGCUGUAAUGUGUUCCAUGUGAACAAAAAAUAUAUUUUAAGGCAGGUAGCCUAGAGGUAGGAGAGUUGGGCAAGGCUCUUAACUCCAGUUGUUCCUUUAAGUCGCUCUAGAUCCUAAAUUACUCAAGGAUUAUAGUGUAUACAUGCAUAUAUUCUAAGAAUCUUUGAUUUAACGUUAUCCACUGAAACAUCUCGGGAAUGGUGGCACCCACAUCAACAGCAGAAAGACAAAGGCAGUGUCGAGCACCUCAAAAUGCUGACCCAGAAAAAAAGGAACAAUACUUUGAGAGAGAGCGUCAGAGAUGGAAAAGAAAUGUUGAGGCAGGGAGAAAGGAAAAGAUCAGUGAUUUAAAGUGAGAGAGACCAGCGUCAGAAGCGUAAACAGUGGAGAACAGCAUACAAAAGAAGCAAGGAGGGGAAAGGAGCACUGAGGAACUUGACCACUCCUCCACAAAGUCCAGAUCAUGUUCCAGAGCAGUCCCCACAGACAGGAUCUUCAAGGUCAGGGCAAUGUGGCAAUGGUACAUGGAACUUUUUUUUUGAGUCAAGCCAUGGAAAAGGGGCUCCUGAUGGUGUGGGAGGAACGUUGAAGAGAACGGAGGACGGGUUGGUGGCUAAAGGCCGUGAUAUCAGUGAUGCACAGGAGCUUUACAAAGCCCUCCGUGAGACAAACACGUCAGGUUGGUGGCUAAGGGCCGUGAUAUCAGUGAUGCACAGGAGCUUGACAAAGCCCUCCGUGAGACAAACACGUCAGGUUGGUGGCUAAAGGCCGUGAUAUCAGUGAUGCACAGGAGCUUUACAAAGCCCUCCGUGAGACAAACACCUCAGGGAAGCUGUUCUUUGUGAAGUGUGCCGAUGUCGAACGUGCGAUGGAGAUGAUGUCAAGCCCGAUAAAAGCGGUGCCCUCCACCAUGAGAAUACACCAGGUCAUCACCCGUGCUCC
ensembl:lncRNA